rnacentral:rRNA from 1 species
UGGGGGAUAUUGCACAAUGGGCGAAAGCCUGAUGCAGCGACGCCGCGUGGGGGAUGAAGGCCUUCGGGUUGUAAACUUCUUUUGCUCUGAACAAGGCAUGCUAAUGGGUGUGUUGAGUGUAGGGGUUGAUUAGCGCCGGCUAACUACGUGCCAGCAGCCGCGGUAAUACGUAGGGCGCGAGCGUUGUCCGGAAUUAUUGGGCGUAAAGGGCUUGUAGGUGGCUGGUUGCGUCUGUCGUGAAAGCUCAUGGCUUAACUGUGGGUUUGCGGUGGGUACGGGCUGGCUUGAGUGCAGUAGGGGAGGCUGGAAUUCCUGGUGUAGCGGUGGAAUGCGCAGAUAUCAGGAGGAAUACCGGUGGCGAAGGCGGGUCUCUGGGCUGUUACUGACACUGAGGAGCGAAAGCAUGGGGAGCGAACAG